CCUGUUCAAUCGACCCCUGUCAACCCACUCUCUACCGCGGUAACCCCUCAGCCUAUUUCGAUUGAAUUUUCUUUUUCUCACUCUUCAGCCGGAUCACCACCGUUGUCCCCUUCGAUCAAACAACCUCCGUCAAGAAAAACUUCUCGUACUCGCUUUUCUUCAUCCUUAGGGCAAGUGAUGUCUGCUAUAGGGUGGCAAGCUCGCCGAGAAGCCCGCGUAGAUAAAAAGCAAGAAGCAGAGAAGAAGUGGGUGGAGGCAGAGAAAAGAGUUGAAGGGGAACAUAAAAAAGAAGCUGAAGAGAAGAAAAAAAAGGGUAGCCAAGAAGAGGGAGGAGGAAAAAGAUAUCAGGAAGAAGAAAGGAGGAAGAGAAGGGAGGAAGACAAAGAAAGGAAGAAAAACAAAAGGUUGAAAAAGAGAAAGAAGAGCAAGAAAGGGAUCAAGGGGGAGAGGCGAACAUAGACUGU
rnacentral:lncRNA from 1 species